rnacentral:lncRNA from 1 species
GAAAAUUGAAAGAGAAAGAAGCCAUGGAAGCUUGAACUUUCGGCCAACCCCAUUUUGCUUGCAUGUGAGUAUCAUUUGUCCAGUUUUUUAUAGUUUUUAUGUUUUUGAGAUCGUUGCUUCGUGUUCUAAUUAGCCCAUACCCUAAUUUUUGAAUUUGUGGAUGAACUUGUGAGUUUCCAUUGAUGAUAGAUUGAUGUUUUUGAAUGUUGAUGAUGGAAAAUGAAUAAUUGUUGAUAGAUUAAUAUGUUUUGUAAAGUGAUUUUUGACAAAAAUGUCAAAUAGGGAUUAAAUUGUGAAAUAUGAAAAUUGAGUGGUUGAAAUGUGAAAUAAAUGAAAGUUUUGGGCUGCUAGGGGCACUAUAGUAAUUCGGCUAAGCUUGGGUUAUAUUGAAUUGUGUAAAUUUUGUAUAUUUGUGAAAUAGGGACUAAAUUUAAUAAAUGUGAAACUUUAGGGGUUAAAGUGUAAAAAUGUCCAAAUAGGUAUUUUUGGAUGAAAUUGAAUGAGUAGGUGAUUAAAUGAGUUAAAUUUGAAUUCAUAUAGAUCAAGAAAGAAAGAAAUCGGAUUUAGAUCGGGGGAAAUCGAAAGUUGACGAGUAGUUGAUCCGAUCUGUUCGUUUACGUACGAGGCAAGUUCAUAAGUAAAUAAAUGUUUUUGAAUUCAAAUGUAUAUGUUUUAUAUAUUGCCGAAUUGAUUUAUAUGUAGAUAUAUAUAUUGCCGAAUUGAUUUGUAUAUGUAUAUAUAUUGCCAAAUUGAUUUGAGAUCCCGUAUAAGACUAUAUUUGGGAUAUGACAUCGGCAUCGAUUUGAGAUCCUGUAUAAGACCAUGUCUGGGAUAUAGCAUCGGCAUCGAUUUGAGAUCUCGUAUAAUACCAUGUCUAGGAUAUGACAUCGGCAUCGAUUUGAGAUCUCGUAUAAGACCAUAUCUUGGAUAUGACAUCGACAUUGAUUUGAGAUUUCGUAUAAGACCAUAUCUGGGAUAUGAGAUCGAUGUGAGACUUCGUGUAAGACCAUAGUUGGGCUAUUGGCAUCGAUAUGAGAUUUCCAUGUAAGACCAUGUCUAGGACAUGACAUUUGUACGAUACAUUAUGUACGAGUUUUCCCGAGUAUCCUUAGUAUUCCAAGUGGUUCAACGGGUAAUCCAAAGAUUAUGUUAAAGAAAAGACAAGGUAUGAUCAUGUUGAAAGGAUACAGGUAUGUACGAAAAAUUCAUGAGUAAUGAACUCGAUGUAUAUUGAACAUUUGGCAAGAAUGUAAAUGAGUAAGUCAUAUUUAUGAGAAUGAUCUUGUGAUGACCUUGUGAUUAUAGGUCUAUGCUUAUGAGGUAUAA